rnacentral:rRNA from 1 species
UGGGGAAUAUUGGACAAUGGGGGCAACCCUGAUCCAGCAAUGCCGCGUGUGUGAAGAAGGUCUUCGGAUUGUAAAGCACUUUCGACGGGGACGAUGAUGACGGUACCCGUAGAAGAAGCCCCGGCUAACUUCGUGCCAGCAGCCGCGGUAAUACGAAGGGGGCUAGCGUUGCUCGGAAUGACUGGGCGUAAAGGGCGUGUAGGCGGUUUACACAGUCAGAUGUGAAAUCCCCGGGCUUAACCUGGGAGCUGCAUUUGAUACGUGCAGACUAGAGUGUGAGAGAGGGUUGUGGAAUUCCCAGUGUAGAGGUGAAAUUCGUAGAUAUUGGGAAGAA